CGGACGGGUGAGUAACGCGUGAGAAUCUACCUUCGGGAUGGGGAUAACAGUUGGAAACACUGCUAAUACCCAAUGUGCCGAGAGGUGAAAGAGUUUCGCCUGAAGAGGAGCUCGCGUCUGAUUAGCUAGUUGGUGAGGUAAAGGCUCACCAAGGCACGAUCAGUAGCUGGUCUGAGAGGAUGAGCAGCCACACUGGGACUGAGACACGGCCCAGCUCCUACGGGAGGCAGCAGUGGGGAAUUUUCCGCAAUGGGCGAAAGCCUGACGGAGCAAACCGCGUGAGGGAGGAAGGCCUUUGGGUUGUAAACCUCUUUUCUCAGGGAAGAUAUGACGGUACCUGAGGAAUCAGCAUCGGCUAACUCCGUCCAGCAGCCGCGGUAAGACGGAGGAUGCAAGCGUUAUCCGGAAUCAUUGGGCGUAAAGAUCCGUAGGUGGUGAGUCAAGUCUGCUGUCAAAGACGGAAGCUUAACUUCUGGAAGGCGGGGAAACUGAAGCACUAGAGUUCGGGAGGGGUAGAGGGAAUUCCCAGUGUAGCGGUGAAAGCGUAGAGAUUGGGAAGAACACCAGUGGCGAAAGCGCUCUGCUGGACCGAAACUGACAUGAGGGACGAAAGCUAGGGGAGCGAAAGGGAUUAGAUACCCCUGUAGU
rnacentral:rRNA from 1 species